GAUGCUGAGGAUCCUCUCGGCUGAGAUGAAUACCCGUGUGUGAGAAGCAACGACGGUGUCUUGUUGUGGAAAGCUUGUGCUCACCGAGGCUGGAAAAUCCUUCAAAGAAAGGCUCUGGUGAUCCUGGGCAAUUGGGAAUUCCCACACUGAUGAUGGAUCAAACCAAGGCAAGAAAACAGCGGUGGAUAAAUGGGACAAAUGAAGCAUGGAAGGUUUGCAGCCACAGUGAUCAGAUAGGGUAGUCUGUGUCAAAUACCGUGCAGAAGCCCAGCGUGAGGACAACACCUCUGAUUUUCAGAGAAUGGAUGCACUUGGAUUUAUGAAUGAUUUUUUUUUUUUUUGAAUUUUCUCCCAGGAA
rnacentral:lncRNA from 1 species